UUAACUUAAAUUUAUAUGGAGUUGGAACGUUUGCCUAUGUUUGCCGAUAGGGGCGCUGUUCCAACUGCAUACAAAUUUGAGUUA
rnacentral:pre_miRNA from 1 species